GCAGACUGCGUGGCGGUAGGCGCUGUGUGGCGGCGGGUGGGAGAGUUAAUUGGAAGUACGGCGCGUGAAGCGUGCGUAGGCGGUUCGGUCGGUGAGCCGUGAAAGCCCCGGGCUCAACCUGGGAACGGCGGUGGAGACGGCCGGAGUAGAGUGGGCUAGAGGAUCGUGGAAUUCCCGGUGUAGCGGUGAAAUGCGUAGAGAUCGGGAGGAACACCGAUGGCGAAGGCAGCGGUCUGGGGCCACACUGACGCUGAGGCACGAAAGCGUGGGGAGCAAACAGGAUUAGAUACCCCGGUAGUC
rnacentral:rRNA from 1 species